GAUGAACGCUGGCGGCGUGCUUAACACAUGCAAGUCGAACGAAGCACUUUAUUUUAUUUCCUUCGGGACUGAUUAUUUUGUGACUGAGUGGCGGACGGGUGAGUAACGCGUGGGUAACCUGCCUUGUACAGGGGGAUAACAGUUGGAAACGGCUGCUAAUACCGCAUAAGCGCACGGCAUCGCAUGAUGCAGUGUGAAAAACUCCGGUGGUAUAAGAUGGACCCGCGUUGGAUUAGCUAGUUGGUGAGGUAACGGCCCACCAAGGCGACGAUCCAUAGCCGACCUGAGAGGGUGACCGGCAACAUUGGGACUGAGACACGGCCCAAACUCCUACGGGAGGCAGCAGUGGGGAAUAUUGCACAAUGGGCGAAAGACUGAUGCAGCGACGCCGCGUGAGCGAAGAAGUAUUUCGGUAUGUAAAGCUCUAUCAGCAGGGAAGAUAAUGACGGUACCUGACUAAGAAGCACCGGCUAAAUACGUG
rnacentral:rRNA from 1 species